AAGUAAUCACUUGGAAGUCACAGAACCAGUAAGUGGCACAGCUAGGAACUGAACCAGGAAGUUUAGCACCAGAGUCUGUGUUGUUAGUAACCCUGUUACCGUGACAUCUGUCUGUAAAGUCAGCUAGGCUGCUCUGUUUAUGGAACUUCUUUUCCAGCUGUUUCCUUGACAACUUUCUAGUGUUCUAGUUUCCUGGACUCUCAAGGCCUUAGUAAAAACCUUUUAUAGUUUUCUUGCUUCAUUUUCCUGGAUCCAACAUAGUUCUGGUCCAUCUCUCAUGGGAGUCAAGGACCAUGUAUUCUCUGUAUAAUUUCAUGAUACUUUUCCACUGGAAAUAGUGCCAGUAAUGAAGCAAGUUGGGUUAGAAAUACAUCAGUGAAGUGACAGAAUUGUGAAGGGUGACCACAAUUCUGAAUUUAAACAAGAUAGUAAUAUACUGUUUGGAAUGACUUUCUUCAUGAAAACUUGCAGGCUGCACAUUUGUGUUUAGUUUCAUGCACUGCUGAUAGUGAUAGACUACCCCGGUGACUGAUGGUGCCUUUGUCUCUUAGGUAACCAAAGUAAUCCUGGCCUUCCAUCGUGCUGAAGAGGCUGUCUUCAGCAGUGGGGAGCAAGAGCUCUUCGUCCAGUUCUGCACUGUCUUCCUGGAGGACCUCGUUCCUUAUUUAAAUCGCUGUCUCCAAGUCCUUUUUCCACCAGCUCAGAUAGCACAGACCUUAGGCAUUCCACCCACUCAGCUCUCCAAGUACCGAAACCUUGGGCAUGUGAACGUCGGCGUCGUCCAGGAGCCUCUCGCCUUUAUCCUCCCGAAGAAGGACAUGGUCUUCUGCCUAGAUGAGAAGGAGCCGGUGCUGGAGCGCACAGUUCCAGCACCAGCACCUCCCGCUCCAGCACCAGAGCCCCCAGCUCCUGCACCAGAACUCCCUGUGGAGGAGUCAAGCCUUGAGCCUCUCACUCCGGCUUUCCCUGAGGAUGGGCAAGGGCAGGUUGAAUCAGUGGAGCCACUGCAGGCUGGUGUGCCUAGUGUGGGAACUUAACUGGACUUCCCCGCUCCCAGAACCAGGCGCAGCACCCUGUUGGAAUGAGAGUUGCCUCACCUGGGAAAACGGGACAGUCCUGGGGAGAGGCUGCAAAGGCAUUCAUGAGAGGAAAUUAAGGGGGAACCUCUUAUCCACUCUUGUAAAUGGUUGAUCAUACCUAAAAAAAAAAAAAAGGAAUUAAAUAA